CUUACCCGCCCCAAAUCUCUCUCUCCGAUUCCAAUUCCAAUUCCCCAUCUUCUUCUUCUUCUUCUUCCUAUUUUUUCUCGAUCCCAAUCCCUCAAAUCUCUCACGCCCUUUUCUCACCUCCCUUUCGAUUUUUGAUUCUCUGUGCCAGCUCAGCCCUAGAACUGGCUUCGCAUUCGGGCGUGUUCUAAUCGGAGAUCUCCAUAGAGGGCUUGAUCUUGCGUUUGAGUUAAUUAUUCGAAUCUAGGGUUUUCUCUGGGUGAUCUACACAGAAAACCGGGAUUGAUGUUUCGUCUCAGGCACGAUUCCGGGAUUGAUUGCAACCGCGAUGGAGGGCUGCUGUUAUGCAUGGGUCGCCGCCAGCUGAGCUCCCGAUACGGCGUCGUCUUCGUCGGCACAUGUGGCCUGUCCCUCCUUCCAACGCCACGACUGUAGCUUCUGACCCUGGUUUCUUCACCAAAGAUGGACGCAAAAUUGGCGUUGGAGAUUGUGCACUUUUCAAGCCUCCUCGGGGUUCCCCACCUUUUGUUGGAAUAAUUCGCUGGCUAAAAUUAGACAAGGGAGACAGUUUGAGUUUAGGAGUUAAUUGGCUUUAUCGGCCUGCUGAUGUGAAGCUUCUUAAAGGGGUCUCGCCAGAAGCUGCCCCGAACGAGGUCUUCUACUCCUUUCAUAAGGAUGAGAUACCUGCUGCAUCGCUACUGCAUCCGUGUAAAGUCACAUUCCUACGUAAAGGUGUUGAACUUCCUACAGGGAUAUCCUCAUUUGUGUGCAGAAGAGUGUUUGAUACUGAGAACAAGUGUUUAUGGUGGUUAACUGACAAAGAUUACAUUAAUGAACGACAGGAAGAAGUAGAUCAUCUUUUAGACAAGACAAAACUAGAAAUGCAUGGGGUAGUGCCGUCAGGAGGUCGUUCUCCGAAGCCCUUGAAUGGUCCCCCAUCAACCCCACAGUUCAAAUCUGGUUCAGAUAGUUUACAGAAUAGUGCAUCUUCAUUUUCUUCUCAAUGUAAGGGAAAAAAGAGGGAACGAGGUGAUCAGAGCUCCGAUCCUGUAAAACGCGAGCGCUUAGUUAAGACAGAGGAUGCGGAGUCUGGCCAGGCCAGAGCGGAAGAUGUAUUGAAGUCCGAGCUUUCCAACAUAACAGACAAAGGAGGACUUGUAGACUUAGAGGCAGUGGAGAAGUUAGUUCAACUUAUGCAACCUGACAACGGUGACAAAAAAAUAGAUAUGGCGGGCCGAAUAUUGCUUGUUGAUGUGAUAGCAGUUACUGAUAGAGUUGAUUGCCUUGGGCGAUUUGUACAGCUGAGGGGCUUGGCUGUAUUGGAUGAAUGGCUUCAAGAGGUUCACAAGGGGAAAAUCGGUGAUGGUAGUAGCCCUAAACAAAGUGAUAAAUCUAUUGACGAAUUUCUCUUUGCAUUACUUCGUGCACUGGAUAAGCUUCCUGUAAAUCUCCAUGCUCUACAAACUUGUAAUAUUGGCAAAUCUGUGAAUAACUUGCGCACUCACAAAAACUCUGAGAUUCAGAAAAAGGCUAGGACUUUGGUUGACACAUGGAAGAAGCGUGUAGAAGCUGAGAUGAAAUUGAAUGAAUCAAAGUCUGGAUCAAGCCGUGGUGUCAACUGGCCUUCAAAGCCUGCAUCUUCAGAAGUUUCUCAGGUUGGGAGCAGAAAAACUGGAAGUAUGUCUGAGGUUGGCUCAAAAAGCUGCCCUGUUCAACCAUCCGCAUCUAAAUCUCCUCAAGUUAAAGUUGGCUCCUCUGAAAUGAUUUCAAAGUCUUCUACCUCUCCUGGAUCAACACAGCUGCUGCCAGUAUCCACUGGUAAUACCUCUAAGGAUCAAAAUUACAGAAUUUUAGGUGGUGCUGGAAACAACGAUGUUCAAUUGAUGCCAAUCAAGGAGGAAAGGAGCAGUAGUUCUCAAAACAACAGCCAGUCCAGUGAUCGUGCAAAGAAUGUGGGUUCCUUAUAUAAGGAAGAUGCAAGAAGCUCAAGUGCUGGUUCAGUGAGUGCAACUAAACUUUCCAGUAGCCCUUCUCGACAACGGAAAUCAAGCAAUGGUCUUCAUGGAUCCGCAGUCUCAGGGGUGCACAAGGAAACAGGACCUGGAAAAGUUGGUAUCCCAAAUAAACAUCUGAUUUCUGAGAAAGCAUCAACAGCCGGAGUAUGUUUUGAGAAAAAUAAUGACGUUCCCAUGGUUGACCAGGCAAGUAGCAGACUAAUUGUGAGGCUGCCGAACACUGGCCGCAGUCCAGCUAGAGGUGCUUCGGGAGGUUCUUUAGAAGACCAUGUUACAGCUGGGAGAGCUUCUCUGUCUGCUGAAAAGCAUGGCAACCAGGACAAAAAACCUAAGAGUAAAAGUGAUGCUUUGCUGGGAAUUAGUACUUCUGAUAUGAACUCAGCUGUAUGUCACAGCAAAGAUGAAUUAUGUGCGUCUGAAGAGAAAAAUGUGCCAGCAAUCUCCAGUGAAAAAAAUAGGGCUGGUGAAGAUUCUGGAAAACCAAUUGAGGAUCCGAAGGAUGCUGGUCCUGGAUCAGAAAUUAUUUCAAGAACGGGAAAAUCAUAUGAAGCAUCCUUAAGCUCCAUGAAUGCUUUGAUUGAAAGCUGUGUCAAGUUUUCUGAAGGUGGUGACACUGCUUCACCUGGAGAUGAUGUUGGGAUGAAUUUACUGGCGAGUGUGGCAGCUGGGGAGUUCAAAUCUGAAGAUGUGUCACCAUCGUGUUCUCCAUUGAGGAAUUCUCCUGUGCCUGAUGGAUCAUUCACAGAAAAUGAUUCCAAAUUGAAAGAACUGGAUGAAGCCAAAUGUCUACUUAUUGGCAAUGCUAGUAGCAGUUCUACUGCAGAGCUGAGAAACACUGGUAAUUCAUUGCGGGUGAAGAGUGAAUCAGGACAUUCUGUGAUCCAUUUGACAGCUAAUGUUUCUGCGGAGAUCAAAAGUAGUUCAGCUGGCGAGUGCAAUGAUAAUUUGAAAUUUUCUUCCAAUAUGCAACAAAAUGUUUAUAGACCAUCCCUGGUGGCUGACGGGAAGCCUAUCAAGGAUGCUUCUGGAUCGGAGCUGUCUUCAUGUCCUAUAAUAGGGGGUUUUGGGAAGGCUGAAGAGUGUAAUCAGCCUCAUGAGCAAGGAAAAUUUGGGGCUUGCAAUGCCAAAGAAUGCAGUACUUAUGAGUGUAAAUCAAAAGUGUCCUCGGCUUUGAAUGAUGAGGAUAAGAUUCUACAUAAAGCUGAGGAAAGAACUGUGAGUAGCAGUACUCCUGUUGUGUCUGAAGCAGCCUCUGGGAGUGGAAAAGUUGUAAAGGCCAAUGAGAAAUCAGCCUGCUUGUCAACUGAAGUGACUGAUGACAACCCGGUUCCCAUUAAGGAUUCAAGUAUUGCUCUUUUGGCAGGGCAGGGACUAUCUGGUGUGACAGAAAAUCACUCAGAUUUGAAGGAGGGAAGGAAUGAGGAUGCUUUUGCUUUUUCUUGUUCUGGAAAUACGUUGCAGUUGCAGUUGAAGGGUGAAAACACAGAUGAAGAGAAAACCAUGGAUCACUCUGAGCAGACUGUGAAAGACGAAAGGGCUAAGAGUGUGGAAAGGAAAGACGCUUCGGAACACAUCAGUGAAUUUUCUGAGGAGACUAAGGAAAGAAAGGAGGCUUCUGGUCACUGUUCUGCUGUACCAGUUUCCCGUGUUCAGUCGCCUGUAAUACAUGCACAAGAAAACCACAAGGCUGGGUGCAAGUUGGAAGCUAUUGAAUCAAGGGUGAAAGAGGAGCGUCAAAUUUCAAGUGUAAAUGCUUCAGGGUCGGAUACUGCUGUAAAGCUGGACUUUGAUUUGAAUGAAGGCUUCCCUGUUGAUGAUGGUAUUCAACAAGAGUUUGUUAGAACAUUAGAUCAUGGAACUCCAUCUUCUGUUCAUAUUCCUUGCCCUUUACCCUUUCAAAUGUCUUCCAUGUCAGGGAGUUUUCCUGCAUCAAUUACUGUGGUUGCACCAGCCAAAGGUUCAUUUGUCCCACCUGAAAACCCAAUGCGGAGUAAGGGUGAACUUGGAUGGAAGGGAUCUACAGCUAGGAGUGCAUUCCGACCUGCUGAGCCCCGAAAAAAUUUGGAAGCACCAAUUAGUACAAGUGAUCCACCUGUUGACACUGCUUCUAGCAAACAAGGCCGCCUGCUAUUUGACUUUGAUCUCAAUGUUCCUGAUGAGAGAGUCUAUGAGGAUGUUAUUUCCCAAACCACUGCACAUGUCAUGGAUCACAAGUCUGGGUCUCGUGAUCGUGGUGCUGGAGGGCUUGAUCUCGAUUUGAAUAGAGUUGAUGAGAGUUCUGAUAUUGUGACACAUCCUGUGAUCAACAAUUCUAGGUUAGAGAUACCUCCGCCAAAUAGGUCAUCAUUAUCUGGUGGACUAUCCAAUGGUGGGAUAAAUGACUUCCGAGACUUUGAUUUGAACAAUGGCCCUGGCCUCGAUGAAGUUGGAUCUGAAGCUACACCAUAUACCCUGCAGCAUAUAAAAAGCAGUGUGCCUCUUCGGACACCAGUGUCUGGUUUAAGAAUGAAUAACCCUGACUUUGGGAAUUUUUCAGCAUGGUUCCCUCAUGGAAAUUCAUAUCCUGCCAUCACAGUCCCACCCAUCUUUCCAGGCAGAGGUGAGCAGAGUUACGGUGUUGCUGCUGGGUCACAGAGAGUCUUGUGUCCUCCCUCUGGUAAGACCUCAUUUGGUCCUGAAAUGUACCGGGGGCCUGUACUGUCUUCCUCAACUGCAAUGCCGUUUCCUCCUGCUACUACAUUUCAGUAUCCAGGAUUUCCUUUUGAAACCAAUUAUCCUCUUUCAUCAGGCUCCUUUUCAGGUUGUUCACCUGCAUAUGUUGAUUCAACUUCUGGUGGGGCACUCUGCUUCCCCACCAUGCCUUCACAGCUCAUGGCACCAGGUGGUGUAGUCUCAUCACCUUACCCACGACCGUAUAUGGUGAACCUUGCUGGCAGUAGCAAUAAUGCUGGCCUUGAUGGUAGGAAAUGGGGUAGUCAGGGCCUUGACCUUAAUUCUGGGCCUGGAGGUGCAGAAGCAGAACCGAGGGAUGAGAGGUUGCCAGCAGGGUUGAGGCAGCUUUCUGUUCCCAGUUCACAAUCCCUUGUAGAGGAACAGAUGAAAUUAUGUCAGGUGGGAGGGUUAUUAAAGCGAAAGGAGCCUGAUAGUGGAUUGGAUGCUUCUGAUCGCAUGAGCUACAAGCAACCUUGGCCGUAGAGUAGAAUCACAUUAUGGGUGCAGAAAUUUGUAAUGGCCUGCUUUUCAGGGUCUUGCAUUGAAACAUACAGCAGAUGUGGAGGUCAAGAGGCGAAUGCUAAAGGGAGUUUUUCAAUGUAGAUAUCUAACUCAUGGAAAGCAUCUUUGGUGUUGCUGCCUAAUGCUGAGUCACGGGUACUCAGUGUUCAGACUUGUGCCCAUUCAGCAAAUCGAGUACUGCUCAGCAUAUUGGUGCAGUGUAUACUGCUGGUAUAGGGUUAGUACUAAAGCAUGUGGCUGUACUGCAAAUCCAAACUCGUUCUCGUACGUGCCAUUGUAUGGGUAUGGUCCUAUUAACUACAGCUAUAGAUGUAUUGAUACAAUAACGGUGGUUAGGUUAUAACAACAAUUGUUCUACUCGGUUGGAUGUAUUUAUGAUCAUGUGCCAACUCAUUACAACAGUGUGUUGCGGCAAGUGUAGCUGGAUUUUGAUAAUUUUUCCAGCCAUGGAAAACUUUUGUUUUCAGUGCCAGUAAACAUUUGCUCGUUGAAUGCCCUUAUCACUGCUGUUAGAAUUUAAGGGGUAGGCUAUAAAUUUCUAUUCAGAGUGGACUCCCUCUUGUUCUUAUGCAGUUUUCCAGUGUUGUACUAUGGACUCAUCAUUCCCAAUAAAGUUCUUGCAUGAAGAGGUUAUAGAACUCGACUUCAGGCUCUCUUUAAGCCGGGGAGGUCAGUAUGUUGGAUUGAUGGUGAAAGAAAAAUCGACUUCAGGUGGAACCGAUGCCACUGCAUCAAAAAAUUCAAUUCUGAAGAGAAUGGUCUAUAAAAGAGAGGAGGUUUCUCAGCAAUGAAAAAACGAGAACCUUUUCGAAGUUUAUGACUUCCCGCUACCUUAGCUCAGCUGCAAACCAUUCAAAGUUUCGAGCUUGUGGUUGCGAAGAACAAUUUUCUCUUCAUUACUGUUCCACAAAACGUCAACUUAGAACUUGUGCUGCAACGACUUUGUGGACACUUGGGUUCUUUGGUUCCUAGAUUUCAAAACGAAGUACAUGUAUUAUAGUGGAUGCAAACAUUGCGAAAGGAAACCAGAUCCUUUAGACCUUUACUAUUGAUCCUCGAUGAUAUUUGGUCAGGGUCAGAAUUCAUUCUUGAGAGCUUUCAAUUUGAAAUGUUAAAUUAC